CGCACUUUUAGAAAACAAUAAAGUAUGAGCAUACGUAAAGUAUGUUCAAUAAAACAUGAUGCGAAUAAGUGUAAUGAAGGCAAAUAAUCGAGAAUUUAUUUCGGUUGCCGGAUCGGCGAAGUUACCAUUGCCCUGACCCUCCGGACACCUAAACUCUUCAUCUUUCUUGUCGUCAUCCUUUUUGUUUUUUUGGCAAUGUACUGGGAAGAUAAAAAAAAGCUUGAUACAAGAAAUAAUGAUUUGCCAUUUUAACACAGAGAAAAUAUGCACGGACACAUUUCGUUUACAUACGCGUAAAUAUAACAAGAUAUUUAUAAGACCUCGACGUUUUCUGAAGAUCCCAAGAAGAUUGAGGGUUUUUCAUCGAAAAUUGCGAGACUUUCCUGGAUCUAAGCUGUUUAAUAUUUAUCAUUGUAUUAUACAUCACCAAGGCAAGAACAAGAACAAGGAUGAUACCUAGUAUGUGCGCGAACAGUCUCGAACACGCAUAGAAAAUAUGGGCGGGAGAAAUUCCAGGAGAGAAGUUUGAGAAAGCGAGAAACGUGAUUGCGAGCAUUCCAAUAUGUUUGGACACGUGAGUGCGAACGAGUGUUUAUGCUCUUUCCAGUGAAAAGUAAAUGCGUUAAAAGACCGACGAGGCGGAAUCACAUUAACAUAUACUACAACAAAAUCUCCCAGGCAUUAGUAUAUCUCAGAAUCCGUUCUGUGCGCACUUUUCUUAAACGUUUUUUUAAGGACCACAAACCUAAGUUCGUACUUAAAAUUAAACUUAAAUCAACGCACAAAG